AAGGAAGGCAGAGGAAGAAACGCGAAGGAGAAGAAGGAGAAAGAAAGAAAAAAAAGAAAGAAAAAGAUUUAGCCGUCCGAUUCCAACUCCGACUUGGGUAGCUCCUGAGAAUAAGCAUAAAGCUCAUCUGAUUUGAGUAAAUAAUGGGACAGGCGUACGUUGGAGGAGAUUUGGGUGAAGUUAUAAAAAUCCAGAAAGUAUCGGUAGGAGGUACGCAUGGCACCUCCGGGACAGGGGACGUCUCGGGAGAUAGAAAGACGGGCUGAAUGAGUGAACUGCAUCUGAUGUAUUAUAUGUAAAUUCUAACUAGAAAAACCUCCCGUUUUGGGAGUAUGUUUUUGUAAAUAUUUAUAAACUUGUUUUUUUGGAAAUAAUAAAAUACUUAUAUAAUUAAUUUUAGCCUUAACACUGUGUUGUGGGGCCCGAAGUAGGAGGUGACGACCUCAUGAUGCAGUGUGGCGGUAGCAUUUCCAGUAUGAGCCAACUGGGGGUGUUACAAGUUGGUAUCAGAGCCUAGGUUUGAUAGAUUUUGGCUCUUUGAAUUAAAAAGGUUUUGAAAAUAAUAAUGAUAUUGAAUUGGUUUGGUGAGGUUUGGGUUUUGCGGGUGCAUUCAUGUUAAUGUGAUCUAUCUUUUAUUGUUAUGCUUGGUUUAGCUGUGUGCUGAAUUGAUAUUGAAUCAGGAAAAAUUGGGGGCAGU